CGUAGGUGGCAAGCGUUGUCCGGAAUUACUGGGUGUAAAGGGCGUGUAGGCGGGAUCCUAAGUCAGAUGUGAAACUCCGCGGCUCAACUGCGGAACUGCAUCUGAACUGGGGUUCUUGAGUGCUGGAGAGGAAAGCGGAAUUCCUAGUGUAGCGGUGAAAUGCGUAGAUAUUAGGAGGAACACCAGUGGCGAAGGCGGCUUUCUGGACAGUAACUGACGCUGAGGCGCGAAAGCGUGGGGAGCAAACAGGAUUAGAUACCCUGGUAGCCCACGCUGUAAACGAUGGAUACUAGGUGUAGGAGGUAUCGACCCCUUCUGUGCCGGAGUUAACACAAUAAGUAUCCCACCUGGGGAGUACGGCCGCAAGGUUG
rnacentral:rRNA from 1 species